CGACGUCGGUUCCUCCUCCUGUAACAAGUCCUUCAGGAGGAUUUUACGACAUCGCAGAGAAAUGAGGGUCUUUUUCACCCAGAAAGCUGCAGCUGCAGCCCUGCGACUCACAAAGCUUCCUGGUUUUGCGAGACCCAACAAAU